CCGUAGCCCAAGAGAUCGGGAUAACACCUGGAAACAGAUGCUAAUACCGGAUAACAACAGAUGAUGCCUAUCAACUGUUUAAAAGAUGGUUCUGCUAUCACUCUUGGAUGGACCUGCGGUGCAUUAGCUAGUUGGUAGGGUGACGGCCUACCAAGGCGAUGAUGCAUAGCCGAGUUGAGAGACUGAUCGGCCACAUUGGGACUGAGACACGGCCCAAACUCCUACGGGAGGCAGCAGGC
rnacentral:rRNA from 1 species